rnacentral:tRNA from 1 species
GGGUAGCUCAGUGGUAGAGCAGUGGAUUGAAAAUCCUCGUGUCGGUGGUUCGACUCCGCCCCC